rnacentral:rRNA from 1 species
CCCUUAGAUGUUCUGGGCCGCACGCGUGCUACACUGACCGGUGCAACAAGCAUCCGUCCUUGGCCGACAGGCCCGGGCAAUCUUUGAACGCUGGUCGUGAUGGGGAUAGACUUUUGCAAUUUUUGGUCUUCAACGAGGAAUUCCUAGUAAACGCAAGUCAUCAACUUGCAUUGAUUACGUCCCUGCCCUUUGUACACACCGCCCGUCGCACCUACCGAUUGAAUGGUCCGGUGAAGCCUCCGGAUUGGCGCGCACCUCGGUGCCGCCGAGAAGUUGGCUAAACCUUACCAUUUAGAGGAAGGUGAAGUCGUAACA